UGUGAUCUGAAACAGCUUCAUUUUUAUUUGUACUUAGCACAUACAAUGAAGAUUCAAAAUACAUUCAAUGGGAACAGGCUUGUAAACAAAUAUUCCUUAUUUUUACAAAAAAAUAUAUAUUUGCAUAUUUAUAUAAAAGGUGUGUGUGUACAGGAAGUGUGUUCAAACAACCAUAUUUAUUCAUUUACACACAAAAUGGAUUGAAAAGGUGAGGAAAUCCAAAACAAACAAAAAAGACAUACAACUAAAUUAGCCCUUUUGAUGCUCUACAUUCUGGCUAUUUACUUUAACCCCUUCAGGGACAGGGUUAAGUGUAUCCCUUUUUUAUCAUGACUGUGCAGGCCUGUCAUUGGCAGACAACUAUUGAAGGUCAGAAAGCAAGGAGGAUGGUGAUGGAGUAGAGCACAAGUGACACAAGUUUGACAAUAACCUAAUCUAGGGUCAAAACAUUGCGGUGUUCUACUGGUUCCAAAAAAUAUGCCCUAAAGCAUUGGGGUGCCUGGACAUUCUAUUUUCUAUAUCUAUAUUUUGAUGGGUGAGUGCUGGCCAAUGAUAUAGCUAAGCACACAAUCAGCUUUUGGAUUGAGUGCAAUUCCUGUUACAAAUGAUCUCAUGGACAACAUAUCCACCAAUUAAGAAUGUGUGUAAUGCUGCAUGCGCAUGCAAGUCAGGAUAAAAGAAUGCCAGGAAGUUUACAGGCAGUGCCCAUAAAAUGUAUUACAAAAUGCAACACAAGUGCAACUGAUCAUCCUAUUGCACAGCACUUUCCAUAAGUCCCUGAUUAGAGUUCUGGGGCGGAGGUGUCAGGUGUCAAAUGGAGUAACUGUGUGACUUGGCAGCCCUGCACUGGCAUUGAAAGGGUUAUGAUUUUAACUUCACAUGGUAUUCAAUGGUACUAGCACAUAUGUAUCUCUUUAAAAGCCAUUAUGUCAUUUGCUGGAGUGUAUUACUCCAGUGACCAAAAGUACCGCAAAUGAAUCUUUCAGAUUAAAAUGACCACUCCCACCCCUACAACAACAAACUAAUUUAGCAAGGGUUUAACCCCAGAAUUGGGGCUCCAGUGCCUAGCAACUCUGCCAGCCAUUUCCUUCCUCUCUGCACAGCAACAUGAAGUAGGGUUAGCCAUAUGACAGGUGGUAGGCAAAGAGCCUUUUAACAGCACUUAUUUUGAGAAAUAGUACCUACUAUUCACUCAAAGGUAGAAGUUUCCAGCAGCAGGGGUAACAACAGGCAUUUGGUCGGACCGAGGUAAGUUGUGAGUACUGGGCGGCCCCAGGGCUGUAGUGGUUAUGGUGCUUGGACUGUAAACUGCAAUAUAGUAGUAAAACUAAACUAUCUCAAAGUAAAAUUUUAUAAUGUACAGUUCUUUGCUCAAUAGGUUUUUAAAGCAGUUUCACUUGAGAAGGGCAUUAUUUUUUAAUGAAUUACCGAACCACAGCACUAAAUUUGACUAAUAGUCGUGAAUUUGUCAGGUUAAAAGGGAAAAUCAAAUUAAAUAAGAUCUUGAAUCAGUAGCAAAACAAAUAAUAAAUGAACACAACAGGUUUGUGGUCGAAAAUAAUAAACAAGAAACUUUUAAAAUAAAAAGAGACAUUAUAAUACAAGCAAUUUUGUUUAGCACAAAUAUUUACCUAGCAAAAAUUACCCCAAAUUGUUAAAUUAAUUUAAAUGUUACAAAUAGGAAGAUACCUCUUAUUUGAACACAUUUUAUAAAAUACAUUUCAUAUUCUUUGAGCACGAAACAAACAAAUGGCACAGUGUGACAGAAAUACAGUAGAAUACAUACUCGUUUUUGGUAUUCUAACACCAUUAACCCACUGAAAGCUUCUUCCCACAUAUCUAUAAGACAUUUGAAAAGUACUGGAGACAACUUGUGAAAUCUGCUAUAACCUUUUUCAUUAUUGCUUCUUGCAAAUUCACAUCAUAUCUAAUCCUUUUCACACACAUUGCUCUCAAAUGUGUUACCAUCCCUUUACGUCCUAAAAGUAUUAUCAUAUGUUAUCCCAUCAACAGGUUGUAUUUUCAAGCCAAUUAAUAAAGCUUACUAAAAAAAUUUAAAUAAAAUAAAAACAAAGUUCAAGUUUUCUAUAGUUUUCAUUCACCAUCCAUCUAAAAUAUUUUACUACUUAACGGUACUGCAGUUUUGAGCCCUACCUACUGAAAAGCUGCAACAGCACGAUGAAGAGAUUAAGCAGCACUGUUACUUGUGGGGGGUUUUUGUAUUUUUUUCCCCAACAUGACAGGUUUGAUUGCAUGGUACCUGUAUCAAGGGAGAUAUGCUGAUCUGAAACGAUACUGCAUUUUGGAGGUUUUUGCAAAAUAGUGGUAUUUUCCAUAGGUCUUUGAGUAUUACCAAUGUGUUGCUAAAAGCAUGAAAUGCACACCAUGCAAAAAUAGUCUUGCAAGUCACGGCUGAUGUUAAAUAGCAGGUGGACGCAGUUUAAUGAUCUGCCUUUUGUCAAGGUUUACCAAAAAUUGUCUCUGACCUAGAACAAUGUAGUCCCUUGCUUUUUCUUAUGAUGGAAUUUUACUGAAAUUCUAAUGCAAUUAAAAGACAAUACAGUACAGUGUUGUUGUAAUACUUGCUGAAGAUUUCAGGGAUAUUAUGCAAAUGUGUUCAGUUGAAGAAAACAUAUUGCUGUAAAUUUGAUAAUAUGUUUUCAUUUUCUUAUUACUUCUAAUCUUAUGUGCACAUUAUAUAUAAUUUGUUUUAAAUUGUUUUAUCAAAUGCACACAAAACAAAAUGUAUUCACUUUGUCAACAGGAUUAACAUUCAAGUAGCACUUUCUUCUUUGAAAGGUAAAUUAAUUCUACAAACACCACAUAUUAAAACCCAAAUAAAAGCUAAUGGUGUUCAUUGAAAGGGACACUCUGGGCACCAAUAAAACUUUAAGGCACUUUUAUUUUUUAAUGCAAAAACAACAAAGUUUCAGUAUGCUUCACCAUAAGCAUGCCUCUUUAGCCACGCCUCCUCAUCCCAGAAAAAGACUUCCUUCUCAGAUGUAUGCCCGCAGCUCAGUCACUUGAAGCACUGAAUGAUCUGAAUGACAAGAGCAAACUGCAAUAGAAGGAGAGACACCUAGAGAGGCAUAUAGUAGGAUAUCACUACCUACUUGUAGUUUAUUUCAUUGUCUGCAGCCAGGUUAUGAAUUAAAAGUAUUCAGUGAUGGUGGGACGGAUAAGGAAGUCUUUCUGGCAUUAGCGGGUUUGGUUAAGUAGGAAGGGUAAUUAAGAAGCAUGCAAAGAAAUUUUAAAAAACACAGUACAUUAUUGAGGCCAUCUAUCAAAUGUAUAAUGUUGUAUUGUGCCCAGAGUGUCCCUUAAUUAUAAAUAAGACAAAAUAGCACCAUAAAGCUAAAAGGAAAUGCAUCACAAUUUAAAUGGGGGCGGAAUUGCAUAAUAGGAAAUAAGUCAAUAAAGCCUAGUGAAUUAAAAAAAAAAAAAAAAAUUUGCAUAUAAAUAAACUAGCAUUUAUAUGGGCAAUUUUAUUAUUAUUAUUAUUUUUAAAUAGUAGGUUUUUUUUUUUCUCUCAAAAACAGAAUUGAAUAACAAAUUCCUACCUAUGGUGCCAUAACACUAUUGUGUAUAUUUAACAAAAAAAAUUAAAAAAAAUCACUUUCAAGUUUCAGAAAAAAAAUCUAAUCUGAGCGAUAAGAGCAACAACCACCUACUUGUUUCAAGGUCAUAAAAAAAUAAUAGCUAUUUAUAUACAUAUACUCCUCAACACCAACAAGGUGAUGAGUUUUUUUAGCCAGAGUAAUAUUUACACAUCCAUUAUCAAAAGUCUAAAAAGAUAUGUGGCUCUGUGCCAUAUUUUCCUCCCUAGUUACAUCAGAU